UACGUAGGGGGCAAGCGUUGUCCGGAUUUAUUGGGCGUAAAGAGCGUGUAGGCGGCCAUACAGGUCCGUUGUGAAAACUCGAGGCUCAACCUCGAGACGUCGAUGGAAACCGUAUGGCUAGAGUCCGGAAGAGGAGAGUGGAAUUCCUGGUGUAGCGGUGAAAUGCGCAGAUAUCAGGAAGAACACCCGUGGCGAAGGCGGCUCUCUGGGACGGUACUGACGCUGAGACGCGAAAGCAUGGGGAGCGAACAGG
rnacentral:rRNA from 1 species